rnacentral:rRNA from 1 species
UACGUAGGGUGCGAGCGUUGUCCGGAAUUAUUGGGCGUAAAGAGCUCGUAGGCGGUGUGUCGCGUCGGCCGUGAAAACCUGGGGCUCAACUCUGGGCGUGCGGUCGAUACGGGCAUCACUUGAGUUCGGCAGGGGAGACUGGAAUUCCUGGUGUAGCGGUGAAAUGCGCAGAUAUCAGGAGGAACACCAAUGGCGAAGGCAGCACUCUGGGACGUGACUGACGCUGAGACGCGAAAGCGUGGGGAGCAAACAGG